UGGCAAGCCGUCUGGGAUAUAACGAAUCAAAGUCAUAAGGCGGUGUACCCGACGGGAGUACCAGCACAGCAGGCGCCGCCAGUCAGAUCAAUGCAUCUCUCGAAAUCGAUGUACACUGUAUGCACUAUCGGUAAACGGAAAACUUGAAAAAUUAUCGAAUAUUAUUUUUCUAAUUUACGUCAUCAAACAUGAUCAACCUGUACCUGAUGCAACUCAAAAACUUUCUUGGGAAAUGUUCAUGAAUAUUGGAUUUCAUAUUAAUCUCAUUGAUAUGCGCGUUUUUUAUGAAUUAGUACAAAACUACCCGUAGAUAGCUCCCAUAAAGAUAUAAUAGGAUGUACGUAAUUUGGUAAGAAAAAAAAUAAAAAUGUUUAUAAAAGAAAAGUUAAAUUUAAAAUAAAUAAUAGUACCCUCGUCGACGAUAGAUUUCGUCCACCCACGCUAAUGCAUUAUGAAUGGACUACGUAUCGAAUCAAUUGUAGCGAGGGUGCAUUUGCAAUACUAAUGCGGGAAAGGAGAUAUACAUUUCGUAGAACGUGAGAAGUUUACGCGAGGAAUUUCCUUUUCCUACAUAUGUUUUAUUGUGCUGUUUGACACGACGAGCGCAAAAUGCAAUUUUUAGCACGUCUACUUUUCCAAGUUUGCGUAAUGUUGCAUUUUCGCACGCGGAGUGUCAAAAUACCACAACCUGAUAAUCAAGAUGGAAAGUGCACUCAACUUUCUCAUAUUAUAAUUUGCUUACCUUACACGCAACCUUCUGGAAGCUAUUUUCAAAUAAAUAUCUUACCCUUUGUUGUUAUCAAAUCUGCUUUAAAUGAAAUAAAGUAAAUAAACUACAACGAUAAUUUCUGUUCUUAAUGGAUUAUAAAUUUACAAAUUCUACGUAGACAGGUGAGUAGUUAAUUUUUCGAAUAAAAUAUAUUCGGAUAAAAGUACA